UAUUAUUUAAUAUUAGGGUAUUUCUUUUUUGGAAAAAGAAGGAGUUAUGGAAG
rnacentral:tRNA from 1 species